CCUACGGGAGGCAGCAGUAGGGAAUAUUGCUCAAUGGGGGAAACCCUGAAGCAGCAACGCCGCGUGGAGGAUGAAGGUUUUAGGAUUGUAAACUCCUUUUGGUAGAGAAGUUUAUGACGGUAUCUGACGAAUAAGCACCGGCUCACUCCGUGCCAGCAGCCGCGGUAAUACGGAGGGUGCAAGCGUUACUCGGAAUCACUGGGCGUAAAGUGUGCGUAGGCGGGGUAAUAAGUCAGAUGUGAAAUCCUUGAGCUUAACUACAGAACUGCAUUUGAAACUGGUACUCUUGAGUGUGGGAGAGGUAGGUGGAAUUCUUGGUGUAGGGGUAAAAUGCGUAGAGAUCAAGAAGAAUACUCAUUGCGAAGGCGACCUGCUGGAACAUUACUGACGCUGAUGCACGAAAGCGUGGGGAGCAAACAGGAUUAGAUACCCGUGUAGUC
rnacentral:rRNA from 1 species